AGCCUGUCACGAGUCUCUUUCAUUUCUGACACUUUGUAUGAGAACUGCAUGUGCAGUCUGAUUUGCAAACUUCCCUAGUCUA
ensembl:snoRNA